UCGAUUUGGAGUUUGUUGCCUAGAGUGAUGGGCCCCGAAGCUAACGCGAUAAAUCGACCGCCUGGGGAGUACGGCCGCAAGGUUAAAACUCAAAUGAAUUGACGGGGGCCCGCACAAGCGGUGGAGCAUGUGGUUUAAUUCGAUGCAACGCGAAGAACCUUACCUGGUCUUGACAUCCACAGAAUCUUGCAGAGAUGUGAGAGUGCCUUCGGGAACUGUGAGACAGGUGCUGCAUGGCUGUCGUCAGCUCGUGUUGUGAAAUGUUGGGUUAAGUCCCGCAACGAGCGCAACCCUUAUCCUUUGUUGCCAUCGGUUAGGCCGGGAACUCAAAGGAGACUGCCGUUGAUAAAGCGGAGGAAGGUGGGGACGACGUCAAGUCAUCAUGGCCCUUACGACCAGGGCUACACACGUGCUACAAUGGCGUAUACAAAGGGAGGCGACCUCGCGAGAGCAAGCGGACCUCAUAAAGUACGUCUAAGUCCGGAUUGGAGUCUGCAACUCGACUCCAUGAAGUCGGAAUCGCUAGUAAUCGUGAAUCAGAAUGUCACGGUGAAUACGUUCCCGGGCCU
rnacentral:rRNA from 1 species